AGGUUUCCKUAGGUGAACCUGCGGAAGGAUCAUUGUCNAUGCCCNANAGGAAGAAUGCGAACUUGUGAUCGCGCCCUUCGGGAGCGGAGGCGGCGGCGGCCGCNUCNCACGCCCUCGCUCCCCUGGGCCCCCCUGCUGCCCCCGUCCCGGUUUCUGCCGGGACGGGCGGUGGGAACACGACCCCGGCGCGGUUUGCGCCAAGGAACAGUUUUUGACGGAGAGCUCCGCGUGCCUCGCGGCGCGCGGUGCGAUCCCGCUAGCGUGAGAACCUGCAUGACUCUCGGCAACGGAUAUCUUGGCUCUCGCAUCGAUGAAGGACGUAGCAAAAUGCGAUACUUGGUGUGAAUUGCAGAAUCCCGCGAAUCAUCGAGUUUUUGAACGCAAGUUGCGCCCGAGGCCAUCCGGCCGAGGGCACGCCUGCCUGGGCGUCACGCCUCGCGUCACUUCGUGCACCAUGCCUGCCCCGCUCCUGGCGGGCGGCCUUCGUGCAGGGACGUGGAGAUUGGCCCUUCGUGUCCUCUGCGGCGCGACGGGUUGAAGUGCUGGCUCUGCCGCCGGUUCUGGACGCGGCGAGUGGUGGACGGAGUUCACGCACUGCGCCUUUUGCCGCGGACCGUAGUGGCCGGCCUUCGUGGAGCGGUGGAAGGAACCCAAGCCGAUGGCGCGCGAUCGCGGCCUCGGACCAUGACCCCAGGUCAGGCGGGAACACCCGCUGAGC
rnacentral:sRNA from 1 species